rnacentral:rRNA from 1 species
UGCCUAAUACAUGCAAGUCGAGCGAACAGACGAGGAGCUUGCUCCUCUGACGUUAGCGGCGGACGGGUGAGUAACACGUGGAUAACCUACCUAUAAGACUGGGAUAACUUCGGGAAACCGGAGCUAAUACCGGAUAAUAUAUUGAACCGCAUGGUUCAAUAGUGAAAGACGGUUUUGCUGUCACUUAUAGAUGGAUCCGCGCCGCAUUAGCUAGUUGGUAAGGUAACGGCUUACCAAGGCAACGAUGCGUAGUAGAUCUGAGAGGGUGAUCGGCCACACUGGAACUGAGACACGGUCCAGACUCCUACGGGAGGCAGCAGUAGGGAAUCUUCCGCAAUGGGCGAAAGCCUGACGGAGCAACGCCGCGUGAGUGAUGAAGGUCUUCGGAUCGUAAAACUCUGUUAUUAGGGAAGAACAAAUGUGUAAGUAACUAUGCACGUCUUGACGGUACCUAAUCAGAAAGCCACGGCUAACUACGUGCCAGCAGCCGCGGUAAUACGUAGGUGGCAAGCGUUAUCCGGAAUUAUUGGGCGUAAAGCGCGCGUAGGCGGUUUUUUAAGUCUGAUGUGAAAGCCCACGGCUCAACCGUGGAGGGUCAUUGGAAACUGGAAAACUUGAGUGCAGAAGAGGAAAGUGGAAUUCCAUGUGUAGCGGUGAAAUGCGCAGAGAUAUGGAGGAACACCAGUGGCGAAGGCGACUUUCUGGUCUGUAACUGACGCUGAUGUGCGAAAGCGUGGGGAUCAAACAGGAUUAGAUACCCUGGUAGUCCACGCCGUAAACGAUGAGUGCUAAGUGUUAGGGGGUUUCCGCCCCUUAG